rnacentral:tRNA from 1 species
GGUGGCUCAGUGGUAGAGUGCUUGCCUUGCAUGCAUCAGGUUGUGGGUUCGAUUCCCUAGCACCA